rfam:Triticum aestivum genome assembly, contig: Triticum_aestivum_CS42_TGACv1_scaffold_146084_2BS
UUAGUACUCCCUCCGUCCGAAAAUACUUGUCAUCAAAAUGAAUAAAUAGGGAUAUAUCUAGAACUAAAACAUGUUUAGAUACAUCUUAUUUUAUCCAUUUUGAUGACAAGUAUUUCCGGACGGAGGGAAUACAUA